GUGGGGAAUCUUGCGCAAUGGGCGAAAGCCUGACGCAGCCAUGCCGCGUGAGUGAUGAAGGCCUUAGGGUUGUAAAGCUCUUUCGUCAGGGAAGAUAAUGACGGUACCUGAAGAAGAAGCCCCGGCUAACUUCGUGCCAGCAGCCGCGGUAAUACGAAGGGGGCUAGCGUUGCUCGGAAUCACUGGGCGUAAAGCGCACGUAGGCGGCUUUCUAAGUCAGGGGUGAAAUCCUGGAGCUCAACUCCAGAACUGCCUUUGAUACUGGAGAGCUUGAGUUCGGGAGAGGUGAGUGGAACUGCGAGUGUAGAGGUGAAAUUCGUAGAUAUUCGCAAGAACACCAGUGGCGAAGGCGGCUCACUGGCCCGAUACUGACGCUGAGGUGCGAAAGCGUGGGGAGCAAACAGGAUUAGAUACCCUUGUAGUCC
rnacentral:rRNA from 1 species